GUCACAAGAGAAAGCGUUUUUGGAUGUUGAACUGCCACGUUUUCCUCUAGGAUCUGACGACGAACUUGAAGAUUUCAGCACUAAACUGUCUGACACAAACAUAAAGGGGAGGCUGGUUGCUAUGAUAUCACGCUUGGGGGGCAACAGUCUCCAGGAGAGUGUGAGGAUUACCAUGUAUCGACUCAUCCGCAAUUCCGUCGCGCUGCAGUAUAGCCUGAAAGGAGCGCACUCCAAGAAAGAUUUUUCAUCCCUUGCUCUCUGCUCAUGCAUUGUUGAAGUAUUGUUGGCAAGGUGCAAGGACGUUAC